rnacentral:rRNA from 1 species
UGCAGUCGAGCGGUAGAGAGGUGCUUGCACCUCUUGAGAGCGGCGGACGGGUGAGUAAAGCCUAGGAAUCUGCCUGGUAGUGGGGGAUAACGCUCGGAAACGGACGCUAAUACCGCAUACGUCCUACGGGAGAAAGCAGGGGACCUUCGGGCCUUGCGCUAUCAGAUGAGCCUAGGUCGGAUUAGCUAGUUGGUGAGGUAAUGGCUCACCAAGGCGACGAUCCGUAACUGGUCUGAGAGGAUGAUCAGUCACACUGGAACUGAGACACGGUCCAGACUCCUACGGGAGGCAGCAGUGGGGAAUAUUGGACAAUGGGCGAAAGCCUGAUCCAGCCAUGCCGCGUGUGUGAAGAAGGUCUUCGGAUUGUAAAGCACUUUAAGUUGGGAGGAAGGGCAUUAACCUAAUACGUUAGUGUUUUGACGUUACCGACAGAAUAAGCACCGGCUAACUCUGUGCCAGCAGCCGCGGUAAUACAGAGGGUGCAAGCGUUAAUCGGAAUUACUGGGCGUAAAGCGCGCGUAGGUGGUUCGUUAAGUUGGAUGUGAAAUCCCCGGGCUCAACCUGGGAACUGCAUUCAAAACUGUCGAGCUAGAGUAUGGUAGAGGGUGGUGGAAUUUCCUGUGUAGCGGUGAAAUGCGUAGAUAUAGGAAGGAACACCAGUGGCGAAGGCGACCACCUGGACUGAUACUGACACUGAGGUGCGAAAGCG